CUGUGUGAUGAUGGCCAGUCUUCAGCUGCAGGCAGUGACCCUGGGUGGUUUGCCUAAAGAGAAGGGAGACUCCUUCAGCUCUCCCUGUGCACCUGGGUGACUUUGGUACAUCAUUUCUUUACCACGUCAGAGGGACAGGGUGUAAAGCAGAGUUGAACAGAACGGAGGCCAGAGGAGCAGAAUAAGAAGCUGCAGAGCCCUGGGCCCAGGAGGCUCUAGGCACCAGAGGGGAGGUGAUCCGGGUGAGUCCCGGUGAGCAAGGGGUUCUGCCACCUUCUAACAGACAGUCCAAUGCUUCAGGGCCCCUGUCGGUAAGAGGUCCAGGAGAGAGAAUGUGUGCAGCCUCAGAGGGCCGGAGCCACCUGCCAAUUAGGUUUGAUGGUCUUCAUCUGUCCUUGUGAGUAAUCUCCUAGUACUACGAGGCUCAUCAAUUAAGGCUCGACCUUUUCCAGUUGCAGGUGCCAUCACAUGAAAUGUGAGUGAGGAUGGAAAAGGUUUAUGUGUGUUUGGCAGUGGUUCUAACCUUGUGUUGGUGUUGUUUCAGGUUGUUCUUAGAUAAUUUAAGAUUUAGAAUAAAAAAAUCCCAG